UAGCGUAGGGGGCUAGCGUUAUCCGGAAUGAUUGGGCGUAAAGCGUCCGCAGGUGGCUGUGUAAGUCUGCUGUCAAAGAGCAAAGCUCAACUUUGUAAAGGCAGUGGAAACUACACGGCUAGAGUGCGUUCGGGGCAGAGGGAAUUCCUGGUGUAGCGGUGAAAUGCGUAGAGAUCAGGAAGAACACCGGUGGCGAAGGCGCUCUGCUAGGCCGCAACUGACACUGAGGGACGAAAGCUAGGGGAGCGAAUGGG
rnacentral:rRNA from 1 species